rnacentral:rRNA from 1 species
GCGUAGUACUACCUCUAAGUGGGGGAUAGCUUCCGGGAAACUGAAGGUAAUACCGCAUGUGGUGGGCCGACAUAUGUUGGUUCACUAAAGCCGUAAGGCGCUUGGUGAGGGGCUUGCGUCCGAUUAGCUAGUUGGUGGGGUAAUGGCCUACCAAGGCUUCGAUCGGUAGCUGGUCUGAGAGGAUGAUAAGCCACACUGGGACUGAGACACGGCCCAGACUCCUACGGGGGGCAGCAGCAAGGAAUCUUGGGCUAUGGGCGAAAGCCUGACCCAGCAACGCCGCGUGAGGGAUGAAGGCUUUCGGGUUGUAAACCUCUUUUCAUAGGGAAGAAUAAUGACAGUACCUGUGGAAUAAGCUUCGGCUAACUACGUGCCAGCAGCCGCGGUAAUACGUAGGAAGCAAGCGUUAUCCGGAUUUAUUGGGCGUAAAGUGAGCGUAGGUGGUCUUUCAAGCUGGAUGUGAAAUUUCCCGGGCUUAACCGGGACGAGUCAUUCAAUACUGAUGGACUAGAGUACAGCAGGAGAAAACGGAAUUCCCGGGUGUAGUGGGUAAAAUGCGUAGAUAUCGGGAGGAACACCAGAGGGCGAAGGCGGUUUUUCUAGGUUGUCACUGACACUGAGGCUCGAAAGCGUGGGGAGCGAACAGAAUUAGAUACUCUGGUAGUCCACGCCUUAAACUAUGGACACUAGGUAUUAGGGAGUAUCGACCCUCCCUGUGCCGAAGCUAACGCUUUAAGUGUCCGCCUGGGGGAGUACGGUCGCAAGGCUAAAACUCAAAGGAAUUGACGGGGGCCCGCACAAGCAGCGGAGCGUGUUGGUUUAAUUCGAUGCUACACGAAGAACCUUACCAAGAUUUGACAUGCAUGUAGUAGUGAACUGAAAGGGGAACGACCUGUUAAGUCGGGAACUUGCACAGGUGCUGCAUGGCUGUCGUCGGCUCGUGCCGCUGGAGGGUGUUUUGGUUAAGCCCUGCAACGAGCGCAACCCUUGUUGCUAGUUAAAUUUUCUAGCGAGACUGCCCCGCGAAACGGGGAGGAAGGUGGGGAUGACGUCAAGUCAGCAUGGCCUUUAUAUCUUGGGCUACACACACGCUACAAUGGACAGAACAAUAGGUUGCAACAGUGCGAACUGGAGCUAAUCCCCGAAGCUGUCCUCAGUUCGGAUUGCAGGCUAAAACCCGCCUGCAGAA